AGGGCACACACAGAAAAGACUGAAGUCAUGUGAAUCAACGUGACAACUGAAAAAUAUACACUGUACAAAUAUAAAGCACAGACAACCUCGAUGCUGCUUGGCCAGGAGCAGAGAACUCGGCCUAGUGAGACAGAACACAGCCUGAUGAGCCAACAACAUCCUAUGCCAGAAGUUGAAACUGAGAGCUAACAGAUGGCCCUACAUGUGCACAUACAGCAACUAGAUCACAGGUUCCACUUGCUUUUAUACUGAAAGAAAAUUGGAUAAACACCUGGAGAGGAGAAAUCUGCAGAGCUAAAGAGAAUGAGACUAAUUUGGAGAUAAUCUUUGAAACAGUAGCACAGAAAUGAAGGGCUGAAUGGACUGUGUUGCACGAAUCUUUGAUUGGCAACAAAAUCCUCUGUGCGAAACCAUUUUUUUGUGCUGGGCAAAUCAGCAAUCUAUGACAGUAAUAUUUAUGGAACAGACUGAUCCCAGAGUUGCUAAGUGGUAAUUCCAAUUCUGCCCAGCAAUAAGUGGAGGGACUUAUUUUCACAAGUCACUCAGGACAGUUAGAGAGUCACUGAAGAGGUGUUCAAAGGUCACAAGCAAUGGGUGAGGAUUGGAGAGAGAGAGAAACGGAGGCAAACUCCAAGUUAGGCAUUGCUGCUUUUAGAGUUAACUAAACUACAUGAAACAAAAAUGGAAAUUACUGGAGGAUUAUCCAUCAGUAUAAGAACUGUCAUUGAUGCAGUUCAUGACGGAAUGAUUCUUGAGAGGGAAUUUCAAGAAUAGAUCAGCAAAAGUGAAGAAUUGGGAUCCCUAGUGAAGUUUAAUUAGAUUUGAUGAUAUUGUCAACAUAAUUUGGAGAGAAUUUCUGACAAAUCCUUGAGAUCUGUCUUGAUUGCAUUAGCUAUUUGAAUGUGCAUUGUAGAGUGUUCGAUCACAGUCUAUAACCCAUAAUUACCAUGUUAAUUCAGGGUGUUAGAAAUGGAAAUGUUGUAGGUUGUAUAACAGUGCUAAUAUUCUCCCGUAAAAUGUAAUGUUAAUUAUUCAAAACUGUAACUGUGAUUUUAUUCUCUUCGUAAU